rnacentral:rRNA from 1 species
CCUACGGGGCGCAGCAGUGGGGAAUAUUGGACAAUGGGGGGAACCCUGAUCCAGCGACGCCGCGUGAGUGAAGAAGUAUUUCGGUAUGUAAAGCUCUAUCAGCAGGGAAGAAAAUGACGGUACCUGACUAAGAAGCCCCGGCUAACUACGUGCCAGCAGCCGCGGUAAUACGUAGGUGGCGAGCGUUGUCCGGAAUGACUGGGCGUAAAGGGAGCGUAGGUUGUUGUUUAAGUUAAAUGUGAAAGCCCGCGGCUCAACUGCGGAACUGCAUUUAAUACUGGACAACUAGAGUGCAGGAGGGGUAAGCGGAAUUCCUAGUGUAGCGGUGGAAUGCGUAGAUAUUAGGAAGAACACCAGAGGCGAAGGCGGCUUACUGGACUGUAACUGACACUGAGGCUCGAAAGCGUGGGGAGCAAACAGGAUUAGAUACCCCGGUAGUC